UGGGGAAUAUUGGACAAUGGGCGAAAGCCUGAUCCAGCCAUGCCGCGUGUGUGAAGAAGGCCUUUUGGUUGUAAAGCACUUUAAGUGGGGAGGAAAAGCUUAUGGUUAAUACCCAUAAGCCCUGACGUUACCCACAGAAUAAGCACCGGCUAACUCUGUGCCAGCAGCCGCGGUAAUACAGAGGGUGCAAGCGUUAAUCGGAAUUACUGGGCGUAAAGCGCGCGUAGGUGGUUAUUUAAGUCAGAUGUGAAAGCCCCGGGCUUAACCUGGGAACUGCAUCUGAUACUGGAUAACUAGAGUAGGUGAGAGGGGAGUAGAAUUCCAGGUGUAGCGGUGAAAUGCGUAGAGAUCUGGAGGAAUACCGAUGGCGAAGGCAGCUCCCUGGCAUCAUACUGACACUGAGGUGCGAAAGCGUGGGUAGCAAACAGGAUUAGAUACCCUGGUAGUCCACGCCGUAAACGCUGUCGAUUUGGGGGUUGGGGUUUAACUCUGGCGCCCGUAGCUAACGUGAUAAAUCGACCGCCUGGGGAGUACGGCCGCAAGGUUA
rnacentral:rRNA from 1 species